rnacentral:lncRNA from 1 species
CAGGUGGACUUCAUCCGAGCUCCUACGGGAGCCAGACUUCCGUCCUGAACUCCUGUUGCAGGUAGACCUCAUCCGAACUCCUACAAGGGUUGGACUCCGAGCUUCUACUGCAAGCGAUCUACUCCGAGCUUCUACUGCAAGCGAUCUACUCCGAGCUUCUACUGCAGGCUUCGACUGAGCUUCCUCGACAAAUGAUCCCCAUCUGGGCUUCUACAGAGAUCGGACUCUGACCAAACUUCUGUAGCGGACAGAUUUCGGACGAACUCCUAUGACACAUGGACUCCAGCAGCCAGACCCCUCCAGC